GAGAAAGCAAAGGAGACCCAGCAGAAAGAGAAGAAGAGCACCCAUCCAGCUGUGGCGGCCCUGCAGCUGUUCACUCUCUUCUGCUGUGGUGGGAAAGUCAAGCUGAGGAAGACUCGUCCCUCUCAGAACAGACAGAGUAGAAAGGACCAGAACAAAGAUAAUGCAUCUGAUACUGGCUCGGACUUGUCUGGAGGUGAUGUUACAACCAAAAGGGAAAAUCGAAGGACACCCCGGCAAGUGAAGACCCCUGUGGAGGAAAUUUACAUAAGACCUGACUCUCCGACUCUACCACGUGCCCACAGCUCCCUCUCUCAGUUUUCCCUGGCAAGGAACCUGCCCAUCCACCUGUUGGAGUGGCAGCUACCUGGAGUCCCUCUGACCACCUCGUCUAUGGCAACUAGGACAGAGAGAAAGCCAUCCUCUACCAACACUUCGACACACGCACAGAUGGAAACACAGACAACAGAUAUGAACACAGACUCACAGACCACUGCCACCUCUCAGAGCCAGAUCUCCACGGUCUCAUCGGAGACCAUGAUAGAUGUUCACACGUCAGACUCCAUUACCCAGACCUCCACUCUUGACAUGGCCCUGACACCUGACAGCAC
rnacentral:lncRNA from 1 species